UUAUUGGGCGUAAGAGCUCGUAGGCGGUUUGUCGCGUCUGCUGUGAAAUCCCGAGGCUCAACCUCGGGCUUGCAGUGGGUACGGGCAGACUAGAGUGCGGUAGGGGAGAUUGGAAUUCCUGGUGUAGCGGUGGAAUGCGCAGAUAUCAGGAGGAACACCGAUGGCGAAGGCAGAUCUCUGGGCCGUAACUGACGCUGAGGAGCGAAAGCAUGGGGAGCGAACAGGAUUAGAUACCCUGGUAGUCCAUGCCGUAAACGUUGGGCGCUAGAUGUAGGGACCUUUCCACGGUUUCUGUGUCGUAGCUAACGCAUUAAGCGCCCCGCCUGGGGAGUACGGCCGCAAGGCUAAAACUCAAAGGAAUUGACGGGGGCCCGCACAAGCGGCGGAGCAUGCGGAUUAAUUCGAUGCAACGCGAAGAACCUUACCAAGGCUUGACAUACACCGGAAACGGCCAGAGAUGGUCGCCCCCUUGUGGUCGGUGUACAGGUGGUGCAUGGUUGUCGUCAGCUCGUGUCGUGAGAUGUUGGGUUAAGUCCCGCAACGAGCGCAACCCUCGUUCUAUGUUGCCAGCGGGUUAUGCCGGGGACUCAUAGGAGACUGCCGGGGUCAACUCGGAGGAAGGUGGGGAUGACGUCAAAUCAUCAUGCCCCUUAUGUCUUGGGCUUCACGCAUGCUACAAUGGCCGGUACAAAGGGCUGCGAUACCGUAAGGUGGAGCGAAUCCCAAAAAGCCGGUCUCAGUUCGGAUUGAGGUCUGCAACUCGACCUCAUGAAGUCGGAGUCGCUAGUAAUCGCAGAUCAGCAACGCUGCGGUGAAUACGUUCCCGGGCCUUGUACACACCGCCCGUCAAGUCAUGAAAGUCGGUAACACCCGAAGCCGGUGGCCUAACCCUUGUGGAAGAGCCGUCGAAGUGGGAUCGGUGAUUAGACGAGUCGACGGAGGUAUAACGGAUACACCUUGAGGUCCUUCAACAAGGGUAG
rnacentral:rRNA from 2 species